GGACGGGUGAGUAACACGUGGGAACGUGCCUUUUGGUUCGGAAUAUCCGGGGAAACUGGCUAAUACCGGAUGUGCCCUUCGGGAAGAUUUAUCGCAUUAGAGCGGCGCGUCUGAUUAGCUAGUUGGUGGGGUAAAGCCCACCAAGCUACGAUCAGUAGCUGGUCUGAGAGGAUGAUCAGCCACACUGGGACUGAGACACGGGCCCAGACUCCUACGGGAGGCAGCAGUAGGGAAUCUUGCGCAAUGGGGGAAACCCUGACGCAGCCAUGCCGCGUGAAUGAUGAAGGUCUUAGGAUUGUAAAAUUCUUUCAGCGGGGAAGAUAAUGACUGUACCCGCAGAAUAAGCUCCGGCUAACUUCGUGCCAGCAGCCGCGGUAAUACGAAGGGGGCUAGCGUUGCUCGGAAUCACUGGGCGUAAAGGGUCGCGUAGGCGGGUGUUUAAGUCAGAGGUUGAAAUCCCUAGGGCUCAACCCUGGAACUGCCUUUGAUACUGGGGAUCUAGAGUUCGGGAGAGGUGAGUGGAACUGCGAGUGUAGAGGUGAAAUUCGUAGAUAUUCGCAAGAACACCA
rnacentral:rRNA from 1 species